AACGAACGCUGGCGGCAGGCUUAACACAUGCAAGUCGAACGCAUCCUUCGGGGUGAGUGGCAGACGGGUGAGUAACGCGUGGGAACGUGCCCUUCAGUUCGGGAUAACCCAGGGAAACUUGGGCUAAUACCGGAUACGUGCGAGAGCAGAAAGAUUUAUCGCUGAAGGAUCGGCCCGCGUCUGAUUAGCUAGUUGGUGGGGUAAUGGCCCACCAAGGCGACGAUCAGUAGCUGGUCUGAGAGGAUGAUCAGCCACAUUGGGACUGAGACACGGCCCAAACUCCUACGGGAGGCAGCAGUGGGGAAUAUUGGACAAUGGGCGCAAGCCUGAUCCAGCCAUGCCGCGUGAGUGAUGAAGGCCUUAGGGUUGUAAAGCUCUUUCGUCCGGGACGAUAAUGACGGUACCGGAAGAAGAAGCCCCGGCUAACUUCGUGCCAGCAGCCGCAGUAAAAC
rnacentral:rRNA from 1 species